AAAACCAUAUCAUUAAGAGCCACCGACAUAAAAUCCCAUAGGUAAGAAAUCUCCUUGCUUGAUGGAUCCUCAGAUUGUCUCCAGUUAAAGUUACAAAUAAACAACCCCCUUCAACUAAUUCUUGGGCACGGCACUUGAGAAAAUAAGAGAAAUCUGUUUUAUAUUGAUCAUAGUAAGCCUUAAGGACAUUUNNNNNNNNNNNNNNNNNNNNNNNNNNNNNNNNNNNNNNNNNNNNNNNNAAAUGUUGCCUUUGUUGUCAUCUACACCCUUGGGUACCUAAUAAGUGUACCAAUCAACAAAAAUUAUCAAUGUUUCAUCAAUCUAUACAAGUUGAUUAAAGAGAAAUAUUUUUGUAUAAAAGAAUAAAGAGAAAAAUAGUAUUGCAUGGGGUGAAAAGUUGAUUAAGGGUACAUAUAAGGGACGGAUCCAGAAGCUUAUCAUAUCGGGGGUCGAAAUAUAGUAAAAUAAUAAUAAAAAUGAAUGUAGAUUUUUUAUUACAUCUGUCCAUGUAAUUUAUUUUUUUUAAUGUUAUCGUGUUAUAUUUAAGAUGUUCUUGUUUAAUAGUGACUAAUGAUUAAUCGCCUCAGAGAAAAUAUGUGGGGCACAAAAAAUAUGUUCUUCUCCUCAAUCGAAUUUUGUUCAUACGCAAGAGCCAAAUAUGAAACUUUUGACCACUUACUUAAGAGACUCAAAACUCUUACCACUCGAAAUGACUAAUUUUUUAUUUAUUAAAAGGCUAUAUUUUUAAUAAUUCAACACUUAUAAUUGUUCGACAAUAUAAAUAUUUUUACACCGUAAAUACAUAUCAAUUAAAAUUCUUAUUUAUNNNNNNNNNNNNNNNNNNNNNNNNNNNNNNNNNAAUGAUAAAUAAUAGAUAUAUUUAAAAAUUAUAAUAUAUUAAUGGUAUAUGAUAUAAUAUGAUAUAUUAUGUUAUGUAUAUGUGUGUAUGUAGAUGAGGGGGAGGGGGGGCCUUGACCACUGCUUGCCACUUUCUCUACCCCACCACUUUUUAUUUCAUAUUCUUAUUUAAAUUUAUGUUUUUGUUUUUAUGAUUAGAUAAAAUUACAAUUAUCGAUUAAAAUUAAAUUAAAAUAAUAAGCACUUAACAAUUGAAGCACUCCAAAUGCACGUUCGAUGUCCUUCCAAUAUCCCUCCUAAUAUUUUGCAAAUAACUUAUCGGGUUCACUUUGAGGAAGUCUAAUCGAUUUGACGAAAGUUGGAUAAGAAGGGUAGAUAUCAUCAGCUAGAUAAUAUGUCAUAUUAUAGGAACGUUGAUUCACAAAGAAAUUAACGGUGAGAGCAUUUCCCUGUUCCACGUCAUCAAACACUGAUGACUGCUCUAGAAAGUUUAUAUCGUUCAACUGCUUCAAAAGUGGCAUCCAAAAAAGGCAUGUCAGGUCCAUAAAUCAUGAGAUACAACUGCUUCAAGAAUAACUGUGAUGGUUCCAUAAAAAAAAGACUAAUACUUCAAGAUUAACAUUAAUAGGAAGAUAAUAAUAAGAUUAUCAUAGUGAAAAAAUCCGUUUUUUUUCUGUGUCCAAAUCAAAUGAAUCAAGUCUCUAUUUCAGUGACUACACACCUCCGGUUUUAUAUUUCCAGCCAUCCGCAACAAGUUGUGUUGACUAAACUGGAAUGGAUAGUUGUUCAUAUUUCUCAAUUUUGUUUGUAAAGGCCGUGUGGUUGUUCUAAGGCUUUGCUGUUGAAUGGGUGCUACUCAUUUGUUUAAUAGGGAGGGUGUUCUUUGUUGCUGCUCCUCCAUUGUAUCAGGUGGAAUUGGUUGUGUUUAUUUGCACCCCUUAUGCAUUUUUCAAUUUUAAUAAAACUUUUGCUUUUUCAAAAAAAAAAAUAAUUUAGCAAUUGUUAUAAUCUCCACAAAAAUGAUUAUAUUAUUUUAUUUUUAAGAAAAAAUAAAAUCAUAGUGCAAAGACAUCACAUGGUUAAUAUAUUGACACCCCACAACCAUCACCAAUUAAUUUUAAUACCUAAUACUUAAUAUUUUAUAAAUAUAAGGAUAAAUACACUUUGGGGGACUAUGCCAAAACCCAAUUAUACAAUUCAAAAGAUCAACAACAUAUAACUCUUUAAAAAUCUUAUUAGUAAAAUACCAAAGAGAUAAAACUCAAUGAAGAAAAAAAAAAGUGCAUAAUAAAAUAACAAAAGUAAAAAGAAAGCCAAUCUUAAAGUCCACUAAAACAACCAUUAAUAUCGAAAGAGAUAUCAACAGAAGAGUAUUGAUAUUUAAAAUUGGCUAUACCAUCAAGACAUUUUUUUUAUAAGCAGCAGAGAAUGAAUUAUGAGGAAUACAAGGAGUACCCAACCCUUACAAUUCUAAAAGAAGUCAUUAGAUGCUAAAAAUGCAAGAUAAUGGAUCUUUACACUAAAUCUGAAAAUACAAGAGAAGUUUUAUCCUCUCCAAUAGUUUUUUCAUUCAACACUCUACUCCACCACUUUCUCUACCCCACCACUUUUUAUUUCAUAUUCUUAUUUAAAUUUAUAUUUUUGUUUUUAUGAUUACAUAAAAUUACAAUCAUCGAUUAAAAUUAAAUUAAAAUAAUAAGCACUUAACAAUUGAAGCACUCCAAAUGCACGUUUGAUGUCCUUCCGAUAUCCCUCCUAGUAUUUUGCAAAUAACUUAUCGGGUUCACUUUAGGAAGUCUAAUCGAUUUGACGAAAGUUGGAUAAGAAGAGUAGAUACCAUCAGCUAGAUAGUAUGUCAUAUUAUAGAAACCUUGAUUCACCAAGAAAUUAACAGUGGGAGCAUUUCCCUGUUCCACGUCAUCAAACACUGAUGACUGGUCUAGAAAGUUUAUAUCGUUCAACUGCUUCAAAAAAUGCAUCCAAAAAUGGCAUGUCAGAUCCAUAAAUCAUGAGAUGCAAUUGCUUCAAGAAUAACUGUGGUGGUUCCCUAAAAAAAAGACUAAUACUUCAAGAUUAACGCUAAUAUGAAGAUAAUAAUAAGAUUAUUAUAGUGAAAAAAUCCUUUUUUUUUUCUGUGUCCAAAUCAAAUGAACAAUGUCUCUAUUUAUAGACAAAAAAAAAAUCAUGAAGUUUGGUAAAAAAAUAAAAAAUUAUUUUGCGAUGAAAUAAUUGAGUUCAAAGUAUUAAUAUGAUAAGAAUCCGUCCAGCCAAUCAAAUGUUAACAAGUGUCCCUAUCUUCUUGUCUCUCCGCGUGAAAUUAUUUUGCGCAUGAAGUCUAAUCGAUUUUUACUUAUAUUUUAGAGGGAGGGAGUAUUAGUUAAGGAACCAAAAUUGUCUUAAAAAUUGUGUAGUAAAUUUUUUUAAAAUGUAAAAUAUUUUUUUUUUCAAUAUAAAAUUUACGUACCUUUGAGUUCUUUAACUAAUUGCCUCGACACAUUUAUUGUCGAGAAGAACCCGAUUGUAUUCUGAGGUAGUUCCACAAUCUUUACAGAUAAUUUCUUAAUUCAAUUCAGUGACUACACACCUCCGGUUUUAUAUUUCCAGCCAUCCGCAACAAGUUGUGUUGUCUAAACUGGAAUGGAUAGUUGUUCAUAUUUCUCAAUUUUGUUUGUAAAGACCGUGUGGUUGUUCUAAGGCUUUGCUGCUGAAUGGGUGCUACUCAUUUGUUUAAUAAGGAGGAUGUUCUUUGUUGCUGCUCCUCCAUUGUAUCAGGUGAAAUUGGUUGUGGUUAUUUGCACCCGUUGUGCAUUUUUCAAUUUUAAUAAAACUUUUGCUUUUUCAAAAAAAAAAGAAGAAGCAAUUGUUAUUAUCUCCACAUAAAUGAUUAUAUUAUUUUAUUUUUAAGAAAAAAUAAAAUCAUAGUGCAAAGACAUCACAUAGUUAAUAUAUUGACACCCCACAACCAUCACUAAUCAAUUUUAAUACCCAAUACUUCUCAUUUAAUAAAUAUAAGGAUAAAUACACUUUGGGGGGACUAUGCCAAAACCCAAUUAUACAAUUCAAAAGAUCAACAAGAUAUACCUCUUUAAAAAUCUUAUUAGUAAAAUACAAAAGAGAUAAAACUCAAUGAAGAAAAAAAAAAGUGCAUAAUAAAAUAACAAAAGUAAAAAAGAAAGCCAAUUUUAAAGUCACUAAAACAACAUUAAUAUCGAAAGAGAUAUCAACAGAAAAGUAUUGAUAUUUGAAAUUGGCUAUGCCAUCAAGACAUUUAAUUUAGGGACCACUGAACUGAAUUACCAACCAACAAAACUUUGAAAAUCAUUUUGAACCACAAAUAUAAAACCCACACAUAAAUGCUAUCGUUAUGGCAUUUUAGUCAAUACCAUAGUAAUAUUGGUGAUCUUAGUUCUAUCUUUGGGCACAUUAUCAGUUACAUAUUUUUGAGACAAUUCACUCUUAUGAAAAAUUUAAUCAAAUGAAAUAUUUAUAAGUAGAGUUACAUAGUAAUAUAAAAACAUGUUUUGUGCAAUUCAUUCUUAUGAAAAAUUUUAAUUAAAUGAAAUAUUUAUAAGUGGAGUUUUUUUUUAUUAAAUAAGUGGAGUUUUCUUAGAGGUGCUACAUCAUCACAAUAUUUGCUUGUGAGCAACUCAACUUUCCUUUUACUAGUAAAAGAUAUAUAUAUGUUAUAUUAAUUGUGGUAAACAUUUUUUUUGGUUACUAUUUAUGGUAAACAUAUACAAACACAAAAUAGUUUCGGGUUAUUUUUUAGCUAUAUAAUGAGCCCUAAAAUAAUUAAUGAUAUUGCACAAAUAGACACAGACUUGAAGUAAGACCAUAUACAAUGGUUACCAACAUUCAACACCACUUUUUCACUUCCCAACACUCCAUGUCAUUUUUUUUUUCUUCCACCUAAUCAUUCAACACACAUUAAACUUUUAUCCUCUCCAAUAGUUUUUUCAUUCAACACUCUACUCCACCACUUUCUCUACCCCACCACUUUUUAUUUCAUAUUCUUAUUUAAAUUUAUGUUUUUGUUUUUAUGAUUACAUAAAAUUACAAUUAUCGAUUAAAAUUAAAUUAAAAUAAUAAGCACUUAACAAUUGAAACACUCCAAAUGCACGUUCGAUGUCCUUCCGAUAUCCCUCCUAAUAUUUUGCAAAUAACUUAUCGGGUUCACUUUGAGGAAGUCUAAUCGAUUUGACGAAAGUUGGAUAAGAAGGGUAGAUAUAAUCAGCUAGAUAGUAUGUCAUAUUAUAGGAACGUUGAUUCACAAAGAAAUUAACGGUGGGAGCAUUUCCCUGUUCCACAUCAUCAAACACUGAUGACUGGUCUAGAAAGUUUAUAUCGUUCAACUGCUUCAAAAGAGGCAUCCAAAAAAGGCAUGUCAGAUCCAUAAAUCAUGAGAUACAACUGCUUCAAGAAUAACUGUGAUGGUUCCCUAAAAAAAAGACUAAUACUUCAAGAUUAACACUAAUAGGAAGAUAAUAAUAAUAAGAUUAUUAUAGUGAAAAAAUCCAUUUUUUUUCUAUGUCCAAAUCAAAUGAACCAAGUCUCUAUUUCAGUGACUACACACCUCCGGUUUUAUAUUUCCAGCCAUCCGCAACAAGUUGUGUUGACUAAACUGGAAUGGACAGUUGUUCAUAUUUCUCAAUUUUGUUUGUAAAGGCCGUGUGGUUGUUCUAAGGCUUUGCUGCUGAAUGGGUGCUACUCAUUUGUUUAAUAGGGAGGAUGUUCUUUGUUGCUGCUCCUCCAUUGUAUCAGGUGGAAUUGGUUGUGUUUAUUUGCACCCCUUAUGCAUUUUUCAAUUUUAAUAAAACUUUUGCUUUUUUAAAAAAUAAAUAAAUUUAGCAAUUGUUAUAAUCUCCACAAAAAUGAUUAUAUUAUUUUAUUUUUAAGAAAAAAUAAAAUCAUAGAGCAAAGACAUCACAUGGUUAAUAUAUUGACACCCCACAACCAUCACAAUCAAUUUAAAUACCUAAUACUUAAUAUUUUAUAAAUAUAAGAAUAAAUACACUUUGGGGGACUAUGCCAAAACCCAAUUAUACAAUUCAAAAGAUCAACAACAUUUAACUCUUUAAAAAUCUUAUUAGUAAAAUACCAAAGAGAUAAAACACAAUGAAGAAAAAAAAAGUGCAUAAUAAAAUAACAAAAGUAAAAAGAAAGCCAAUCUUAAAGUCCACUAAAACAACCAUUAAUAUCGAAAGAGAUAUCAACAGAAGAGUAUUGAUAUUUAAAAUUGGCUAUACCAUCAAGACAUUUUUUUUAUAAGCAUAGAAUGAAUCAUGAGUACAAGGGGUACCUAACCCUUACAAUUCUAAAAGAAGCCAUUAGAUGCUAAAAAUGCAAGAUAAUGGAUCUUUACACUAAAUCUGAAAAUACAAGAGAAGACUUAGAAAUUAUUCUACCAACAAACCAAAACCAGGAGAUAUAAAUAAUUUGAUCCACUAAUGAUUGCAAGUUAAUGACAUCUCCUCUAAACAUUAUAUUAUUACGGGCUCGCCACAAGCUCCAUGUAGUUGCCAACCAAAUUACAUGUCGAGCUUUUGCAUAAGACUUAUUCUUCACCAAAGCACCAAAGGAGACUUAUUACCAUCAAGACAUUUAAUUUAGAGACCACUGAAUUACCAACCAACAAAACUUUGAAAAUCAUUUUGAACCACAAAUAUAAAACCCACACACAAAUGCUAUCGUUAUGGCCUUUUAGUCAAUAUCAUAGUAAUAUUGGUGAUCUUAGUUCUAUCUUUGGGCACAUUAUCAGUUACAUAUUUUUGAAAGCGGUUAAAAGCCUCUUUAGUGACACUUUCACCAAAAUGACCAACUAGCAAAGGUUCAGCGAUAGCCCUUAUGCAUUGUCCCAAAUUGUAUCCAUCUUCUCUAAGUGAUCCUGAAAUUUUAGAGUUAAAAGCAUCCUUAUAAUUAUCAAGUUCUUUAAAAAUUAUUUGAGAAGAAUCCAAUUGAUUGAUGGAAAAUGAUCCUUCUGUGAGAACUUCCAACUUCACUUCAGAUAGAGAUGGAUAAUAGAGAGGAACGUUGAAAGAGUUGAGAUUUUCUUCUUUUAUAAUUCCCUGCAACAUAUAUUGAAUAAUUUAUAUUAUAAAACAUAAAAUACUAUGUCGUAACACUUUUGGUGAGAUGACCUAUUCAAACAAAAUACUAAAUACUAAAUAUAUAUCAUAUAAGUUUACCUCCAAAACCAUAUCAUUAAGAGCCACCGACAUAAAAUCCCAUAGGUAAGAAAUCUCCUUGCUUGAUGGAUCCUCAGAUUGUCUUCCAAUUAAAGUUACAAAUAAACAACCCCCUNNNNNNNNNNNNNNNNNNNNNNNNNNNNNNNNNNNNNNGGGCACGGCACUUGAGAAAAUAAGAGAAAUCUGUUUUAUAUUGAUCAUAGUAAGCCUUAAGGACAUUUGAAGGGCUUGUGCUAGACAAGU
rnacentral:lncRNA from 1 species